rnacentral:rRNA from 1 species
AAAGUCAUGGUUAAGUGGGAAACGAUGUGGGAAGGCCCAGACAGCCAGGAUGUUGGCUUAGAAGCAGCCAUCAUUUAAAGAAAGCGUAAUAGCUCACUGGUCGAGUCGGCCUGCGCGGAAGAUGUAACGGGGCUAAACCAUGCACCGAAGCUGCGGCAGCGACACUAUGUGUUGUUGGGUAGGGGAGCGUUCUGUAAGCCUGUGAAGGUGUACUGUGAGGUAUGCUGGAGGUAUCAGAAGUGCGAAUGCUGACAUAAGUAACGAUAAAGCGGGUGAAAAGCCCGCUCGCCGGAAGACCAAGGGUUCCUGUCCAACGUUAAUCGGGGCAGGGUGAGUCGACCCCUAAGGCGAGGCCGAAAGGCGUAGUCGAUGGGAAACAGGUUAAUAUUCCUGUACUUGGUGUUACUGCGAAGGGGGGACGGAGAAGGCUAUGUUGGCCGGGCGACGGUUGUCCCGGUUUAAGCGUGUAGGCUGAUUUUCCAGGCAAAUCCGGAAAAUCAAGGCUGAGGCGUGAUGACGAGGCACUACGGUGCUGAAGCAACAAAUGCCCUGCUUCCAGGAAAAGCCUCUAAGCAUCAGGUAACAUCAAAUCGUACCCCAAACCGACACAGGUGGUCAGGUAGAGAAUACCAAGGCGCUUGAGAGAACUCGGGUGAAGGAACUAGGCAAAAUGGUGCCGUAACUUCGGGAGAAGGCACGCUGAUAUGUAGGUGAAGCGACUUGCUCGUGGAGCUGAAAUCAGUCGAAGAUACCAGCUGGCUGCAACUGUUUAUUAAAAACACAGCACUGUGCAAACACGAAAGUGGACGUAUACGGUGUGACGCCUGCCCGGUGCCGGAAGGUUAAUUGAUGGGGUUAGCGGUAACGCGAAGCUCUUGAUCGAAGCCCCGGUAAACGGCGGCCGUAACUAUAACGGUCCUAAGGUAGCGAAAUUCCUUGUCGGGUAAGUUCCGACCUGCACGAAUGGCGUAAUGAUGGCCAGGCUGUCUCCACCCGAGACUCAGUGAAAUUGAACUCGCUGUGAAGAUGCAGUGUACCCGCGGCAAGACGGAAAGACCCCGUGAACCUUUACUAUAGCUUGACACUGAACAUUGAGCCUUGAUGUGUAGGAUAGGUGGGAGGCUUUGAAGUGUGGACGCCAGUCUGCAUGGAGCCGACCUUGAAAUACCACCCUUUAAUGUUUGAUGUUCUAACGUUGGCCCGUUAUCCGGGUUGCGGACAGUGUCUGGUGGGUAGUUUGACUGGGGCGGUCUCCUCCUAAAGAGUAACGGAGGAGCACGAAGGUUGGCUAAUCCUGGUCGGACAUCAGGAGGUUAGUGCAAUGGCAUAAGCCAGCUUGACUGCGAGCGUGACGGCGCGAGCAGGUGCGAAAGCAGGUCAUAGUGAUCCGGUGGUUCUGAAUGGAAGGGCCAUCGCUCAACGGAUAAAAGGUACUCCGGGGAUAACAGGCUGAUACCGCCCAAGAGUUCAUAUCGACGGCGGUGUUUGGCACCUCGAUGUCGGCUCAUCACAUCCUGGGGCUGAAGUAGGUCCCAAGGGUAUGGCUGUUCGCCAUUUAAAGUGGUACGCGAGCUGGGUUUAGAACGUCGUGAGACAGUUCGGUCCCUAUCUGCCGUGGGCGCUGGAGAACUGAGGGGGGCUGCUCCUAGUACGAGAGGACCGGAGUGGACGCAUCACUGGUGUUCGGGUUGUCAUGCCAAUGGCACUGCCCGGUAGCUAAAUGCGGAAGAGAUAAGUGCUGAAAGCAUCUAAGCACGAAACUUGCCCCGAGAUGAGUUCUCCCUGACUCCUUGAGAGUCCUGA